UUGGUCCCUAGAGACUUGCAGCUAGAGUGCUCCAGCUGAUGUGCUGACUUUGCAGCCUCCAAAGGUAAAGAGGCAGCAUUUGCCUACAGAUAGAGCAGAGGGAAACCAGCUUCAAGCACCUACACAGAAUCUGUUGUCGCCUCUCUUAUUCAAUGUGCCCCCAACUGCAGGCUCUCCUUCACCAAGGUAGAAGUGCUGCACAUCCAAUCCCCUGUGGUACUUAAGAACCUCUAGUACUGCAGAGGACCUUCUAGCUCCCAGCUUUACAAAACUUGCUAGAUUGCUGGGCCAGCUAAAAUUCUCCAAUACUCCCAACAACAGUAAAGCCUGCAAGAGAAGGGAUUCCCUCCUGAAGACAAUCUAAGGGUCAGGGGUGUCUGGCACCUAGCAUCCUACUUGCAAUUAAACAUUAACUUUUAAUCAGCUUGCCUGAGAUCUGGCCCUGGUCAGUAAAAUUUGAGAUUAAUUUUACAUCCUUUCAGAUUUUUUGCUUGUAUAUGGCAAACAACAAUUAGAAGAAUUUGCUAAUUUUGGUUAAGCACCUUUUUUUUUUUAAAAAGGGCAUAAUCAUUUAUGAACAGUUUGGCAGAUUAACUUCAAAUUUGGUAGGGAAAUUCUCAGUUGGUCAUAGACCAGACUCCUAUCUGAGGGGGUAUAAGGAUUUGGGUUUUUUUGGGGGGGGGGGAGGAAAGGGGAAAGGUAGAGGGAGUGUUGAGAAUGGAAUUAUAAUGGACAGAAAUUCAACCUUACCUAUGAUGCAACUGCUACCACCAAUUGUGGGGGGUGGGGCUAUAAACAUGCAAAUCAAAAAAGUGAUUCACUCAGAUAAGUAUCAACGUGCUUCUGCUCUUUGGUGUAACCUCCACUAUCUCCAAAGUUUUCCUCUUCACACCAGGGAUUCUUGAAGUUCUCCCAUACUUCAUUUUAGAACUCAUGCAUGAAUGAAAGCACCGAGCCAGAUGCAAUGGUUCCUCAACUGUAACAAAAUCAAAGGCUUUCCACAUACCUGAUGUUUGGUCAUCUCCAUCUCCUCCAGAAUAGCUUUCUUAAAGUCCUCCUGUUGCUCCUGUGCAAGAAAAUGAUAUAAUGGACUGAGUUACACAAAUUAAAAGGCUUCAAGGUCACAUAUUGUAUUAAUUGAGUGCUUCAGAA